CUCAAUCUCCUCUCUUGUUCCUCAGAGGCAAAGUGAUUCUGGAGCUCUAAAAGAUUAAUAGCCCUCAAGAAGAAAUGAAUCAGGUGCUCUUCAGGGCCUGACUCCAGCGACGGCUGUACAAAUAGAAGUGCUUUUGUGCACGUGUCUUCUCACACUGCCGACCAUGUCGUCUGGUGGUGCUUGGCGCACCCUUUUGUGACAGUGGGAACGUGUCAGGUCGUUCCAGGCCUGGCCAGACAAGAGACAAGAACCAAACAAAUCCUACCAUCACCAUAAGGGAAAAUGACUGUGCGGCUGCGCUUGGUUGAUUCCCUCUAAUUGAUUGUACGCUGGUUCACCUUUCAGUGAUGUGGAACUUCCAGAAAUGCUGUUCAUCUGGAGGAGAGUUUGCUUGUGGGAGGCUGGAAACCCCUGAUCUGCUGACAUAAGAAUCCAUGUAUUGCAUUUAAAAUUCUAUUAGCAUAAUAUGAGCAGGCGCUUGGGGAUAUGAUGCUGAGAUAGAGUACA